AUUGAACGCUGGCGGCGUGCCUAACACAUGCAAGUCGAGCGGUAACAGGUGUAGCAAUACAUGCUGACGAGCGGCGGACGGGUGAGUAACGCUUGGGAAUCUGCCUAUUAGUGGGGGACAACCCGGGGAAACUCGGGCUAAUACCGCAUACGCACUACGGUGGAAAGCCGGGGACCGCAAGGCCUGGCGCUAACAGAUGAGCCCAAGUCGGAUUAGCUAGUUGGUAGGGUAACGGCCACCAAGGCGACGAUCCGUAACUGGUCUGAGAGGACGACCAGUCACACCGGAACUGAGACACGGUCCGGACUCCUACGGGAGGCAGCAGUGGGGAAUAUUGGACAAUGGCGAAAGCCUGAUCCAGCGACGCCGCGUGGGUGAAGAAGCCUGCGGGUUGUAAAGCCCUUUCAGUGGGAAGAAAAGCCUCGAGCUAACACCUCGGGGUCUUGACGUAACCCAUAGAAGAAGC
rnacentral:rRNA from 1 species